UAAUACGAACCGUCCAAACGUUAUUCGGAAUUAUUGGGCUUAAAGGGUAUGUAGGCGGCGCUGUUAGUCGGGUGUGAAAUCCCUCGGCUCAACCGAGGAAUUGCGCCCGAUACUGCAGUGCUUGAGGGAGACAGAGGUAAGCGGAACUGAUGGUGGAGCGGUGAAAUGCGUUGAUAUCAUCAGGAACACCGGUGGCGAAAGCGGCUUACUGGGUCUCUUCUGACGCUGAGAUACGAAAG
rnacentral:rRNA from 1 species